CCUACGGUGCGCAGCAGUAGGGAAUCUUUCACAAUGGGCGAAAGCCUGAUGGAGCAACGCCGCGUGCAGGAUGAAGGCCUUCGGGUUGUAAACUGCUGUUAUAAGCGAGAAAUAUGAUGGUAACUUAUGAAUAAGGAUCGGCUAACUACUUGCCAGCAGCCGCGGUCAUACGUAGGAUCCGAGCAUUAGCCGGAGUGACUGGGUGUAAAGAGUUGCGUAAGUGUCAUAAUAAGUAGCUAGUGAAAUCUGGUGGUGCAACCAUUCAGACUAUUAGCUAAACUGUUAAGCUCGAGACCGUUAGGGGUAACUGGAAUUUCUAGUGUAGGAGUGAAAUCCGGAGAUAUUAGGAGGAACACCAAUAGCGUAGGCAGAUUACUGGGACGGUUAUGAAACUAAGGCACGAAAGCGUAGGGAGCAAACGGGAUUAGAUAACCCUGGUAGUC
rnacentral:rRNA from 1 species